UACUACUAAAAAAUCCGUGGGUUAUCAUAGAAAAUGCGUAAUAAAUAGUAGCCUACGCCGAAUAAAAAUUAAAACUCGUGGUACUGAUAAGGAAAAAAUGGUUUUUGGUGUGUAUGCUGUGAGGAGCAUUCUGCGGGCACAGUUUUCAAGAGGAAUACUUCAGCUGCAAAAGGUAAUUAAGUAAAUAUAUUUAACGCACAAUUAGUGUUGUUUAGAUGUUUUUGAAUGUCACGAAGAGUUUAUUAGAUGUUUCUGUAAGGUUUGAGAUGAUAACAUAACGUCAGAAAAACCGGAGGAUAAGUACGGUCUCUUUAGAGAUUAGAAACAUAAUGUAAUUUUUUAAUAGGAAAAAAAAACUGAUCAGCUGUAUCCAGUACAUGAUGAUAUAAAGUAAUUAAAUAAUAUUGAGUUAUAUUCCAGUUUGCUAAAAAAUAAAUAAAAAAAAAUCAGUCAUUCGAUUCGUCUUUUUCAACGAGUGAUUGUUACUGAAUCAUAUCGGACUCGCCAUAUGGCGCCAUAAUAACUAUAGCUACUGGUGGAUCUGUCUGAUUUAAUGCACUUAACCUUUAAAAAGAGUCAUUUGGUUGUGAAUCAAACUACACAGAGCAUGCUGUUGUAGCAUUACACCCGCUAAGACAAUUCAAUAUAUGAAAUCUGAAUUUAAUAAUAUUUAUUCUGUGGUAACAGCUCUGACACGGAAAAGCACUAAAUAAUUUUUUUGUAUUUUUUAUUUCAGUUUUAGCUUAUAAUUUUAGUGCUUCUACUUAAACUUAUUUCAGUUCAUUUCCAAGUCAACAUUUCCAAUUUAUUUUUUAUUUAUUUUUUAUUUCAGUUGACAAAGCUGUUUUUAAUCAUUAUUAGGUUUAGUUAAUGAACCCUGCCUCUUAUUAUCUACCAGACUUCUAUAGAGACACUUUGACCUCACAAUCAGUUGCUAUUGCAUAAAUCCAGUGCGAGCUACAUCUGUGUCCUCUGGUUUGAUUGAUGCAGUGUGACUGUGUGUGUGUUCCAGCAGGAGGCGCUGUAUUCCUGUAACACACUGUGAGAGGAUCGUCCAGCAGGACCACAGGUGCACCUCAGGUCUUUCCAGCUGUGAUGCGGCGGUGACUGCAGUGAUGUUUGUGUGUAUUUGGUUGAUAAAAGCAGCGUUUUGUGAUGGUUUGGUGACCUCACCCUCUGCAGACAAACACUGCGGCCCUCAAACAGACGUCUGAUCGAUGCACGGGAGAAAAGAGAGAAACAUGAUGAUGAGUGGAUCUCACGAAAACACGUCCAAGACACAGCUCACCCUGAAAUCAAAAAGAAAAAAUUCUGCCUAUUUUUAGGAAGAUUUUCAUUAUGAAAUUAUUUUCAUGACACAUUUCCCAUUUUAUAUCUCAGUAGUUCUUACUACUAUAAUUGCCAGUUUUGCCUGUAUUUUUAACUUAAAUAAGCAAAAACAUUAAAGACAAAAAAGGCACAGUUCAUUUGAAAAAUAUUAACAAAUUUCAC
rnacentral:lncRNA from 1 species